GAUGAAGAACGUAGCAAAAUGCGAUAAGUAAUGUGAAUUGCAGAAUUCAGUGAAUCAUCGAAUCUUUGAACGCACAUUGCGCCCGCUAGUAUUCUGGCGGGCAUGCCUGUUCGAGCGUCAUUUCAACCAUCAAGCCCCAGGCUUGUGUUGGGGACCUGCGGCUGCCGCAGGCCCUGAAAACCAGUGGCGGGCUCGCUAGUCACACCGAGCGUAGUAGCAUACACAUCGCUCAGGGCGUGCUGCGGGUUCCGGCCGUUAAACCCCUUUUUUACCCAAGGUUGACCUCGGAUCAGGUAGGAAGACCCGCUGAACUUAAGCAUAUCAAUAAGCGGAGGA
rnacentral:misc_RNA from 1 species